GAUGAAAACGCAGCGAAAUGCGAUAAGUAGUGUGAAUUGCAGAAUUCCGUGAAUCAUCGAAUCUUUGAACGCACAUUGCGCCUUCUGGUAUUCCGGAAGGCAUGCCUGUUCGAGAGUCAUUAACAACCGUUUCGAUCCCUUUCUUUCAGAAAUUACAAAGAGGAAAAGGGUUUGGUUAUGGUGGAGGAGGGAAAGGGAGCGUUUAGCCUGUAAAAAAAGAGGCUGUGUUCCGCCUCCCCCCCAAAAUUGUACAGGCGGUCGUGUGCGCCCACGCAUCGAGGUGUUGUAAAAGCUGCCACGGCACUUUUCACCUGUGCAGUGCGAGAUUGGCCAGCCGGUUUAAAAACCCCUCCAAACAAUCAAAGGUUGACCUCGGAUCAGGUAGGGAUACCCGCUGAACUUAAGCAUAUCAAUAAGCGGAGGA
rnacentral:misc_RNA from 1 species